AGCAGCCGCGGUAAUUCCAGCUCCAAUAGCGUAUAUUAAAGUUGUUGCAGUUAAAAAGCUCGUAGUUGAAUUUCGGGGUUAGUAGGUUGGUCAUGCCUCUGGUAUGUACUGGUCUCACUGAUUCCUCCUUCCUGAUGAGCCGUAAUGCCAUUAAUUUGGUGUCGCAGGGAAUCAGGACUGUUACUUUGAAAAAUUAGAGUGUUUAAAGCAAGCUAACGCUUGAAUACAUUAGCAUGGAAUAAUGAAAUAGGACGUUCGAUCCUAUUUUGUUGGUUUCUAGGAUUGACGUAAUGAUUAAUAGGGAUAGUUGGGGGCAUUAGUAUUCAAUUGUCAGAGGUGAAAUUCUUGGAUUUAUUGAAGACUAACUACUGCGAAAGCAUUUGCCAAGGAUGUUUUCAUUAAUCAAGAACGAAAGUUAGGGGAUCGAAGACGAUCAGAUACCGUCGUAGUCUUAACCAUAAACUAUGCCGACUAGGGAUCGGAUGAUGUUAAUUUUUAAUGACUACAUUACGGCG
rnacentral:misc_RNA from 1 species